rnacentral:lncRNA from 1 species
GACGGUAGAUAUUUUGUAAGUAAUAGUACUUACAUUUUACUGUUAGGAACAAUGAAGAAUCGUUGGUUGGUAAUACUACAAUAUAAAUACUGUAGUAUUUCACUGGACAAUAAUAAUAUUGACCUCGCAGUGUCAAUUGGUUAGGGGCUUUUCUAAUGGGCCGUCACACUGUCACCGUAAACAGAUUGUAUGUAUAGUAAAAAUAUACAAAAUAAGUAAAUAAAAUAUGGUUAUGUUUAAUAUUAUGUAAUAUAAUGAUUAUGGUUGUUAAGUUCACUUGUUUUUUGGAUUAUACAUCAUGUAGAAGUCCCAAUUUCUAUUGCUUAGACUGUAUAUUUUUACAUAUAUCAUUAUUUAAAAUGAUAGUGUAUGUUGACGGGGUUGCUGUAAACCAAACUAUACACUAAGUUUGGAAUUCCUUUGAAAAUCCAUAUCAGGAGCAGCAUAUAACGCCUCAUUCAUUUUAAUAGCACAGUAAAAUGUUAAAACGUUAUAUAUUGGUCCAACUUGCCCACGCGCUAAAAGUUUUGAAUAAACGCGUUGGAGCCUAAAAUAUGUGUUGAUCUCUCAAGGUAUCAAACCAGUCACCUCUCAGAUAUAGAGCUGCAGACUUUUUACACUUAGCUAUGUAUGCAGUGUGAUGUCUAUGUAUUGUGUAAAUAUUUUAUAUAUCAAUAUGUAAAUUACGCGUUACUUUUGUCUGAUAUAUGGUUAUUCAUUAUUGGUUUCAGAGUUGGUCAGUGAAGUCGCUCAUCAUUGUGACACCUGCGGAAGGAAGUAUUCCCAGAAGAAAAAUCUUCAACGACAUAAAAAGUUCGAGUGCGGCACGGAACCAUCGUUCCACUGUCCUCUCUGUCCAUACAAGGCCACAUACAAACAUAACCUCCAUCGCCAUGUAGUAAUGCGUCAUUCCUCUUUAAGUGUCAACGUAGAAAGAGAAUUUAGUGCCUGAAUAAAUCUUGGAUUAGCAGUGAGCUAGAGAAGAUGUCAUGCCUCAUAUAUAGAAUAGGCUGCAUCCAGCAUGGCAAACCCCUACUAAAGGACCAUCGCAGGUCAAAACAGAAUUACAGGUGAUGCAAAAUUGUCCUUAGCAUUAUUGAACUGAAUUAUGGCUACAGAAACAAUUAUCCAUCUCUGUUUGGGAGUGCCGAUGGCCGAGCGGUCUGUCGUUGGACUUUGGGUCUGAGUUAGAGAUAUCGCAGGUUUAAAUCCUAUCUGUAACCUUAGUACUUUUUAUCAGUACAAUGCAUCGACUCUCCCCCUUAUUUUGUUUGAUAAGAUCCUUGCACAGGCCAGUGGCCCAUGAGGACGGACAGGAUAAGGCUUAAAAAGGUGAUCGGUCACUCCUUAAAAAACAUGUGUAUUGUUGCUCUACAUAAUGUUUAAAGCCUCGUGGAGGACUGUCACCAGGGACAUUGUAAUUGACACGAAAUAUCGCUUGUAAGCGAAGUCGGCAACCCUUCCUCCGUGGGCUCUUUGAUCGACACUUGUCAGGCAUGGGACCUUGCCGUUAGGGUCAUGGGGGUAACAUAGUCUUCGCUGAUACCAAGUACACCUUCUCAUCUUUAUAACCUACUGGUGGAUUCUAGCGCAGUAUUCCUUUGGUGCGAAUCACUCCCACGACGUUAUUCCGAAUCAACUAGAAACAUUACUCUUAAUCAUACAGUGACCUAAGAAGUUUGUGAAAUCAUUUUUGUAAGUCAUACACCGUCCUGGGUAGUUUUUGGAACCAUUACUGUGAGUUAUCCACCUUCCUGGAUAGAUUGUGGAACCAUUACUGUGAGUCAUACACCGUCCUGGGUAGUUUUUGGAACCAUUACUGUGAGUCAUACACAUUCCUGGGUAGUUUUUGGAACCAUUACUGUGAGUCAUACACCUUCCUGGGUAGUUUUUUGGAACCAUUACUGUGAGUCAUACACCGUCCUGGCUAGUUUUUGGAACCAUUACUGUGAGUCAUACACCGUCCUGGCUAGUUUUUGGAACCAUUACUGUGAGUCAUACACCUUCCUAGGUAGUUUUUGGAACAAUGAUUGUGAGUCAUACACCUUCCUGGAUAAAUUGUGGAACCAUUACUGUGAGUCAUACACCUUCCUGGGAAGUUUUUGGAACCAUUACUGUGAGUCAUACACUUUCCUAGGUAGUUUUUGGAACAAUGAUUGUGAGUCAUACACCGUCCUGAAUAGUUUGUUUAUUCUAUAUACGAAGUAUAUAUUCUCUAGCACAAUACUAAUAUAAAACUGUAGAUUUGGUAAUAUUUUAGUUCGUUAUAUAAAUGUAUUGGUUCGAAAAUGCAUUGAACUUUACUAAAAUGUGCAACAUCCUUGCAUUUCAGAAAUCAAAUGAGCAGAUAGUUAGGGCAAAUUGCUCAUUCGUUUUCAAUCCUGUUACUUUUUUGUACAUAUUUUUUAUUGUAAAUAAACAGUUUUAAACUAGAAA